GAGAAGGAAGGGUAGGCGGGGUAAAGGCAAGGGAGGAGGGGAUUCAAGAUGGAGAUGAUAGAGGAAGAUGAUUCCAAUUCAAGUGGUCUGGGGCAAUUUUAUCUUGUCCUAGUUCCAGAGCCUGCACCUCUGUAUCCAGUGUCUGGGAAUGCUUUUCUGAGAAUGAUACCAACCUGCUGGAAAACAGGAAGCCACAUGAUCCAGACGCAAGGAAGCUCACAGUCCACACUUAGUAUCAGCUGCCAAGUACAGACAGGAGGCUGUCUGCCCUCUCCAAUUCAACAGCUCUCCGGCAUUUAUGUGAGUGAGCCCAGACAAAAGCAGCAGAGGACUCACCCAACCAAACUACAGAACAAUAAGGAACGAGACUUUGAUGAAAUUAAGCUAACUUGAUACUCAUAAAGCCUGAGCCUGUUGCUCAUUCAAGUGGGAUGAUUCCUGACUAACUA